rnacentral:rRNA from 3 species
GCUUUACUGUAACUUGAAAUUGAAAUUGGACUUUAUUUGCGCAGUAUAGGUGGGAGGCGUUGAGAAUAUUCUUGCGGGAAUAUUGGAGCCAUCAGUGAGAUACCACUCUUGUAAUGUUAGAUUUCUAACUUUGGAUCAUUAUCUGGUCAAAGAACAGUUUCAGGCGGGCAGUUUGACUGGGGCGGUCGCCUCCCAAACGGUAACGGAGGCGUACAAAGGUUUCCUCUGAACGGGUAGAAAUCGUAUCUAGAGUGCAAAGGCAUAAGGAAGCUUGACUGUGAGACCUACAAGUCGAGCAGGGACGAAAGUCGGUCUUAGUGAUCUGACGGUGCUG